AAAUAUUAGUAAAAUCUAAUACUCCGAAAGCUAAAAGGUUUUCUAUGAAAGGAUAUACCACGUAGGUAAAGUCGGGGGCUAAGACUAGAUUUAAUAUGUAGUCGAUGAAUAAAAGGGUUAAAUUUCCUUUACCAUAAUAUAUAAUUUAAACAAAUAGUGACCUAUAAUUUUUUAUAUAUUUAAUUUAUAUAUAGUUUAUAAUAUACUAAAGAAAUAUAGCUAGAAAAAUGUAUAUGUUAUAUAUAUAUUAUGCCUGUACCAAAACUGACACAAGUAAGCAAGUAUAACUAUACUAAGGAGUACGAAAUAACUUUCUCUAAGGAACUCGGCAAAAUAAUCCUGUAACUUCGGGAGAAAGGAUGCCCAAA
rnacentral:rRNA from 1 species